GACGAACGCUGGCGGCGUGCUUAACACAUGCAAGUCGAACGGACAGGCCCUGCUUUUGUGGGGUGCUCGAGUGGCGAACGGGUGAGUAACACGUGUGUAACCUGCCCUUGACUUUGGGAUAAAUUCAGGAAACUGGGGCUAAUACCGGAUAGGAGCUCUUGCUGCGCGGUGGGGGUUGGAAAGUUGCGGCGGUUGGGGAAGGAAUCGCGGCUUAUCAGCUUGUUGGUGAGGUAGUGGCUUACCAAGGCUUUGACGGGUAGCCGGCCUGGAAGGGUGACCGGCUACAUGGGGACAGGGGUAGGGCCCGGACUCAAACGGGAGGCAGCAGUGGGAAAUAUAGCACGAAGCGCGGAGGCAGUAGGGAGCAUCGCCGGGUGGGGGAUGUCUGCCUUCGGGUAAGAACCCGCUUUCGAGUGUGUAGAAGCGUGUUGAAGGUAAAUGGUUAAAAAGGCACGGGUAAACUACUG
rnacentral:rRNA from 1 species